rnacentral:misc_RNA from 1 species
GAUGAAGAACGUAGCAAAAUGCGAUACUUGGUGUGAAUUGCAGAAUCCCGUGAACCAUCGAGUUUUUGAACGCAAGUUGCGCCCGAAGCCUUUUGGCCGAGGGCACGUCUGCCUGGGCGUCACGCAUCGCGUCGCCCCCCACAAUUCUCCGUAAAGGGAACAUGUGUUUUGGGGGCGGAUAUUGGUCUCCCGUGCUCAUGGCGUGGUUGGCCGAAAUAGGAGUCCUUUCGAUGGACGCACGAACUAGUGGUGGUCGUAAAAACCCUCGUCUUUUGUUUCGUGCUGUUGCUCGCAAGGUAAACUCUUUAAAAACACCAAUGUGUCGUCUCUUGACGACGCUUCGACCGCGACCCCAGGUCAGGCGGGACUACCCGCUGAGUUUAAGCAUAUCAAUAAGCGGAGGA